rnacentral:tRNA from 1 species
GCGGAUGUAGCCAAGUGGAUUAAGG